AAUUAAUUUAUGAUAUUGAAUUGAAUGAAAAUAUAUAUAUAUAUAUUAAUUACAACAACUUUAUGCCCAUAUCCUAAUGGGAUGAUAGUAGUAUUUAAAGAGAGAAGAAACAUACACCAAUGAUUAAAUGAUAUGCCCCAUAUCCCUAUUCCUGUACACUAUACUAGCUUCUUUUACCGUCAUUCUCUGCUUCAUGCAGAUAUGCUUGUUAUUCAUAUCCUCAAACCCACAUAUCUUCAAAAACUCAUGCACUUGUUAUCUCCACUCUCCUCAACCUUCUGUUUCUAUACUUACCAACCACAUAUCCAGCCUACAAUCACUUGAUAAAUUAUUUGAGAGAGUGAUCAUAUUGAUAAUGGUAAUGUCACAACAGCAAAUGCUAGAUCGAAAUAUGUAUAUGUAGUUGGGUACUAUGCUAAAAAUGAGAAUCUUAAAGAAUACUAGGAUGAUUGUGUAUCAAAGUAUGCUAAUCUUGAUAUAUAAAAGUGAAUUCUGAAUAUGAUGUGAAAGGCAUAAAAAGUGAGUGCAAUGGAGAUAGAUACUUGAGGUAUAUAACUGGAAGGAUGUGCUAUGAUUGUGUUUUGAAUGAAAGUAUGAAAGCUGGCAGUAUGGAGUAGUGUGUGGUUGAUGCAAUGUUUUAUUCAAUUUUGAGAUGAUUUGUCUGUAUGAAGCUAUGAGUGAAGAGUGAAUGUACAGCAGCAGUGCAGCAACAUGUGGCCCUUUGUUGAUUUGUUGAUGUCCUCAUUGUAUGUUAUUUUAACAAGUCACACAAACAAUGAAAUAUUAUUUAUAGUUUUGAACAAUGUAUUUUCAAUAAAAUUUUUGAUGUGAAAUUAU
rnacentral:lncRNA from 1 species